rnacentral:rRNA from 1 species
CGUACGCUUCUUUUUCCACCGGAGCUUGCUCCACCGGAAAAAGAGGAGUGGCGAACGGGUGAGUAACACGUGGGUAACCUGCCCAUCAGAAGGGGAUAACACUUGGAAACAGGUGCUAAUACCGUAUAACAAUCGAAACCGCAUGGUUUUGAUUUGAAAGGCGCUUUCGGGUGUCGCUGAUGGAUGGACCCGCGGUGCAUUAGCUAGUUGGUGAGGUAACGGCUCACCAAGGCCACGAUGCAUAGCCGACCUGAGAGGGUGAUCGGCCACAUUGGGACUGAGACACGGCCCAAACUCCUACGGGAGGCAGCAGUAGGGAAUCUUCGGCAAUGGACGAAAGUCUGACCGAGCAACGCCGCGUGAGUGAAGAAGGUUUUCGGAUCGUAAAACUCUGUUGUUAGAGAAGAACAAGGAUGAGAGUAACUGUUCAUCCCUUGACGGUAUCUAACCAGAAAGCCACGGCUAACUACGUGCCAGCAGCCGCGGUAAUACGUAGGUGGCAAGCGUUGUCCGGAUUUAUUGGGCGUAAAGCGAGCGCAGGCGGUUUCUUAAGUCUGAUGUGAAAGCCCCCGGCUCAACCGGGGAGGGUCAUUGGAAACUGGGAGACUUGAGUGCAGAAGAGGAGAGUGGAAUUCCAUGUGUAGCGGUGAAAUGCGUAGAUAUAUGGAGGAACACCAGUGGCGAAGGCGGCUCUCUGGUCUGUAACUGACGCUGAGGCUCGAAAGCGUGGGGAGCAAACAGGAUUAGAUACCCUGGUAGUCCACGCCGUAAACGAUGAGUGCUAAGUGUUGGAGGGUUUCCGCCCUUCAGUGCUGCAGCUAACGCAUUAAGCACUCCGCCUGGGGAGUACGACCGCAAGGUUGAAACUCAAAGGAAUUGACGGGGGCCCGCACAAGCGGUGGAGCAUGUGGUUUAAUUCGAAGCAACGCGAAGAACCUUACCAGGUCUUGACAUCCUUUGACCACUCUAGAGAUAGAGCUUCCCCUUCGGGGGCAAAGUGACAGGUGGUGCAUGGUUGUCGU